UUACGGACAUAUCAAAUUGAAACACCUGUUCACGUACGAUCACCGAAGUUAAACAACGUCGAGCAUGGCCAGUACCUAGAUGGGUGAUCGCUUGGGAAUACCUGAUGCU